CACAGCCGUGAGCCAAAGGACCCAGUUCCUCAGGUUUUUCUGAUGGAGAUGGAUAGAGGGUGAACAAACAAGACAAAGUGAAUCGUAACUUCGGGGAGUAAUAGUUGCCUCUGAGGAAAUAGAGCAAGUUCUAAAGAGAAAGAGAUGGAGUCUUAAUUAAGAAACGUUAUUUGAGGCAGGCCAUUCUGAGGAGGUUAUAUUUUAAAAGAGACAUAAAUUGAGAGAAUCAUCCAUACAGAAUCUAUGAAAACAGAUUUUAUGACAAAGAAUACAAGAGCAAAGGAAAUAAGGAAUCUGCAUAAAAUUUUCAGGACAAAUCUAGGUGAUCAUCCUGUGUGCCCUAAUUAUGUGAUUUUGACAACUUAAGUGGACACAUCUAAAAAAUGGGGAUGCCAUCACCAACCACCUGGAACCGGACCACGUCUUGCCAUGAGAGCUUGCCUGUGACCUUUGCCUCAUUUUUAAGGC
rnacentral:lncRNA from 1 species